rnacentral:rRNA from 1 species
AUUGAACGCUGGCGGCAGGCCUAACACAUGCAAGUCGAACGAGUGGCGGACGGGUGAGUAAUGUCUGGGAAACUGCCUGAUGGAGGGGGAUAACUACUGGAAACGGUAGCUAAUACCGCAUACCAUCGGAUGUGCCCAGAUGGGAUUAGCUAGUAGGUGGGGUAAAGGCUCACCUAGGCGACGAUCCCUAGCUGGGCUGAGAGGAUGACCAGCGAAACUGGAACUGGGACACGGGCCAGACUCCUAAGGGAAGCAGCAGUGGGGAAUAAGGCAGAAAGGGCGCAAGCCUGAGGCAGCCAUGCCGCGUGUAGGAAGAAGGCCUUCGGGUUGUAAAGUACUUUCAGCGGGGAGGCGUUACCCGCAGAAGAAGCACCGGCUAACUCCGUGCCAGCAGCCGCGGUAAUAC